CAUCGCCUCUUGUAACCAUAAGAGGUCCAGCCUGCCCAGUGAUUUUAUUCAACGGCCGCGGUACUCUAACCGUGCGAAGGUAGCGUAAUCACUUGUCUCUUAAAUAGAGACUAGUAUGAAAGGCAUCACGAGAACUUAACUGUCUCCUUUCUCCAAUCAGUGAACCUAAUCUCCCCAUGAAAAAGCGGGGAUACCACUAUAAGACGAGAAGACCCUGCGGAGCUUAAAACAACAUAACACUUGCCACUAUCACUAACUACUCCAGCGUUCACCCACCCCAACGGCAUCCUGAUUAUACGUUUUUGGUUGGGGUGACCGCGGAGAAAAACUUAACCUCCGCAAUGAAAGGGCCUACCACCCUAAACAACAAGUUACAACUUUAAGUAUCAAAAAUUUGACAUUCAUUGACCCAAUAAAUUGAUUAACGAACCAAGUU
rnacentral:rRNA from 1 species